GCAACAGCCCAACUCAAGAUCGGAAUUCAGAGCUCUCUCUUCUGCGUCAUUUUCUUCCGAGCCGUUGAAAGGAAAGGGUUCAUCGAAAUGGAAAGUGCACAACUUCCGCUUUGGUUCUUUGGUUGAAUCGUCGAAGUCUGAAAGACCAGUGAGGUUUUGGAUUAGCAGGAAGCCUAUCG